rnacentral:snRNA from 1 species
GGUUGUGAGGGUGAUCUGACUGCAACAUCUGUCACCCCAUUGAUCGCCAGAGUUGAUUCAGCUGAUCUGGCUGACUAGGCAGGUGUCCCCUUGCUUCCUCAACGUUCUUUGUGCAUCCCUCCCAAAGCAGUAUGCUCUAUCAAAAAAGAGGACCACCCCCAUAGAAAGGACCAUUUCUUUGGUCAAAGGUGUAGGAGUAGCUGCACUCCCCUGCUAGAACCUCCAGGCAAGCUCUCAAAUGUUCUAUCAAAUACCUAUAUGGAAUCUGCAUAUUUUUAUGU